ACGGCCGGCUCCAUUUGGGAAAAUAGAGCACCGCCUUUUUUUUCCCUCUCUGACGACUGAAAUCCAAAACCCCACUGCUUCUUCUUUUGCUCUACCGUGCACCUUUUUCUUUCCUCUCCUCCAGUACCUCUCUUCUCUCUCUCUCGACGGCCAGCAGUUGUGCCAUGAGUGGCAGCAGCCAGGGAGGUGCCAUCGGCGGCAAGCCCGACAUGUGUUCCACCAUCAGUGGCGACCCAAGGCCGUGCUGUGGGUGGCGGCCAGGUGGUGGCCGACUCUAUUUUCCUUAUGUCGGAUGUAGGGAGAAGAAAGAAAAAAGGAAAAAGAAUGAAGAAAAAGAAAAAGAAA